GAGUUUGAUCGUGGCUCAGGAUGAACGCUGGCGGCGUGCCUAAUACAUGCAAGUCGAGCGAACGGACGAGAAGCUUGCUUCUCUGAUGUUAGCGGCGGACGGGUGAGUAACACGUGGAUAACCUACCUAUAAGACUGGGAUAACUUCGGGAAACCGGAGCUAAUACCGGAUGAUAUUUUGAACCGCAUGGUUCAAAAGUGAAAGACGGUCUUGCUGUCACUUAUAGAUGGAUCCGCGCUGCAUUAGCUAGUUGGUAA
rnacentral:rRNA from 1 species